rnacentral:rRNA from 1 species
UACAGAGGUCUCAAGCGUUGUUCGGAUUCAUUGGGCGUAAAGGGCGCGUAGGUGGCAUGGUAAGUCGGAUGUGAAAUCUCGGGGCUUAACCCCGGAACUGCAUUCGAUACUGCCAGGCUAGAGUACUGGAGAGGAGAUUGGAAUUCACGGUGUAGCAGUGAAAUGCGUAGAUAUCGUAAGGAAGACCAGUGGCGAAGGCGGAUCUCUGGACAGUUACUGACGCUGAGGCGCGAAGGCCAGGGGAGCAAACGGG